CUCAGUAGUGUUCCCAUCCGGGACAUGUGGUGCAGUGUUAACUACCGUUGAAGCAUUCACGGCAGAAGCAGCUGCAGCUCUCGAUGAGCCUGCACCCAAGCCUAGCAGGAAGGAGAAACAAAGGAGAUGUGAAAAGACCAAAGAAAAUGUGCACAAGUCAGCGGAAAAAAAAAAGAGAGAAAGAGAAGGAUAUACGAGGGAGCCUUGGGAUGAAAAGCAAAGGGGGGAAGAAAUCUCGAAUCCAAAUAACAAACCCUCAGGAUUCGAUGAAGGGGAGCGAAGCGAUCCUUACCAAAGCCUGACGAGCCUACUGGCAUGCUCCUCCUCCACCGCCGCCGCCGCGGCCUCGGCG